rnacentral:rRNA from 1 species
UACGUAGGGUGCGAGCGUUAAUCGGAAUUACUGGGCGUAAAGCGUGCGCAGGCGGUUCGUUGUGUCGGUGGUGAAAGCCCCGGGCUUAACCUGGGAAUGGCCAUGGAAACUGGCGAACUGGAGUGUGGCAGAGGGGGGUGGAAUUCCGCGUGUAGCAGUGAAAUGCGUAGAUAUCUGGAGGAACACCGGUGGCGAAGGCGGCGUCCUGGACCAAUACUAACACUGAAACGCGAAAGCCAGGGGAGCAAACGGG